GCGUGGUCAAGUGGUAAAGACACUUGUCUCUCACCCUGAUGUCCCGGGUUCGAUCCCUGGUCGAGGAGCU